AAUGAACGCUGGCGGCGCGCUUAAGACACGCAAGUCGUACGAGAAAGUCCGCGAAGGAUGAGUACAGUGGCGCACGGGUGAGUAAUGGUUAGGUAACGUACCUUUCCGCUGGGGAUAACCAGGCGAAAGCUUGGCUAAUACCGAAUACACCGGCAGGGACUGCGGUCCCAGUCGGGAAAGCCGUAAAGGCGCGGAUCGAGCGGCCUAACUCCCAUUAGCUUGUUGGUGAGGUAAAGGCUUACCAAGGCAUUGAUGGGUAGCUGGUCUGAGAGGACGAUCAGCCACACUGGAACUGAAACACGGUCCAGACUCUACGGGAGGCAGCAGUUAGGAAUCUUGUGCAAUGGGCGAAAGCCUGACACAGCGACGCCGCGUGA
rnacentral:rRNA from 1 species